GCAUAUCAAUAAGCGGAGGAAAAGAAACCAACAGGGAUUACCUCAGUAACGGCGAGUGAAGCGGUAACAGCUCAAAUUUGAAAGCUAGCUCUUUUAGGGUUCGCAUUGUAAUUUGUAGAAGAUGCUUCGGGUGUGGCCCCGGUCUAAGUUCCUUGGAACAGGACGUCAUAGAGGGUGAGAAUCCCGUAUGUGACUGGGUGCUUUCGCUCAUGUGAAGCUCUUUCGACGAGUCGAGUUGUUUGGGAAUGCAGCUCAAAAUGGGUGGUAAAUUUCAUCUAAAGCUAAAUAUUGGCCAGAGACCGAUAGCGCACAAGUAGAGUGAUCGAAAGAUGAAAAGCACUUUGGAAAGAGAGUUAAACAGUACGUGAAAUUGUUGAAAGGGAAGCGCUUGCAACCAGACUUGCGCGCUGAUGAUCAUCCGGGCUUCUGCCCGGUGCACUCGUCUGCGCUCAGGCCAGCAUCGGUUUCGGUGGUGGGAUAAAGGCCUUGGGAAUGUAGCUUCUUUCGGGGAGUGUUAUAGCCCUCGGUGCAAUGCCGCCUACCGGGACCGAGGACCGCGCUUCGGCUAGGAUGCUGGCGUAAUGGUUGUAAGCGACCCGUCUUGAAACACGGACC
rnacentral:rRNA from 4 species